rnacentral:rRNA from 1 species
GACGAACGCUGGCGGCGUGCUUAACACAUGCAAGUCGAACGGAAAGGCCCUGCUUUUGUGGGGUGCUCGAGUGGCGAACGGGUGAGUAACACGUGAGUAACCUGCCCUUGACUUUGGGAUAACUUCAGGAAACUGGGGCUAAUACCGGAUAGGAGCUCCUGCUGCAUGGUGGGGGUUGGAAAGUUUCGGCGGUUGGGGAUGGACUCGGGGCUUAUCAGCUUGUUGGUGGGGUAGUGGCUUACCAAGGCUUUGACGGGUAGCCGGCCUGAGAGGGUGACCGGCCACAUUGGGACUGAGAUACGGCCCAGACUCCUACGGGAGGCAGCAGGGGGAAAUAUUGCACAAUGGGCGGAAGCCUGAUGCAGCAACGCCGCGUGCGGGAUGACGGCCUUCGGGUUGUAAACCGCUUUCGCCUGUGACGAAGCGUGAGUGACGGUAAUGGGUAAAGAAGCACCGGCUAACUACGUG